ACCCUCUCAGGAUCGCACCUGGAGAGUUUCCAGUGCUCUACCAGUCUCGGCUACAAGAGGGAGAGUCAAGCGGAGGCAUACCCAUUCCAUUUUUAGCUUGGGCAGUGGCUAGCGAGUGGAAAGAAAUCUGCUACACGU
rnacentral:snoRNA from 1 species